CAACUUUCAACAACGGAUCUCUUGGCUCUCGCAUCGAUGAAGAAAGCAGCGAAAUGCGAUAAGUAAUGUGAAUUGCAGAAUUCAGUGAAUCAUCGAAUCUUUGAACGCACCUUGCACUCCUUGGUAUUCCGAGGAGUAUGCCUGUUUGAGUGUCAUG
rnacentral:rRNA from 1 species